rnacentral:misc_RNA from 1 species
UACGGAGGGCGCGAGCGUUGUUCGGAAUUAUUGGGCGUAAAGCGCACGUAGGCGGCUCGAUCAGUCUCGCUGUGAAAGCCCGGGGCUCAACCCCGGGAGGCCAGGGGAUACUGUCGGGCUGGAGACAAGCGGAGGUGGGUAGAAUUCCGGGUGUAGCGGUGGAAUGCGUAGAGAUCCGGAGGAAUACCAGAGGCGAAGGCGGCUCACUGGGCUUGGCCUGACGCUGAGGUGCGAAAGCGUGGGGAGCGAACAGG